GGACUACCAGGGUAUCUAAUCCUGUUUGCUACCCACGCUUUCGCUCCUCAGCGUCAAUACUGGCCCAGAGCACCGCCUUCGCCACCGGUGUUCCUCCUGAUAUCUGCGCAUUUCACCGCUACACCAGGAAUUCCGUGCUCCCCUACCAGAUUCAAGCCACAGCAGUAUCGGAUGGCGUCUCGGGGUUGAGCCCCGAGUUUUCACAUCCGACUAACUGAGCCGCCUACGAGCUCUUUACGCCCAAUAAAUCCGGACAACGCUCGGACCCUACGUAUUACCGCGGCUGCUGGCAC
rnacentral:rRNA from 1 species